CAGUCCUUUGUGGGUAAUUUUGGGGCUGCUGGAAGGCACACUGACAUACUGGGCCCAAUAUGAUUUGAGUGCAUGCUUUUGCUGAGGUUUUUUGCUCUAAUUAAAAUUAAUGCCCUGAACCACUAAUAAUGACAGGGCAGUUUUCAGACUCAGAGACUACCAAGGCUCCCAAAAGAGCUGGAUUUCAGAAAGGUGCUUUAGGAAGGAAUAUGACCCAACCAUGUCAAGAAGACUGGAGUGUUGUUCAUAGGGCAUAGGUCACAAGUAACCUGUGGUAGAGGAUGGAAAGAUGGACAGUCUGUAGGAGAGAACAGCGGUGAUAACAGCAACAAUGCUUGCAUUUGUUUCUACUCUGUGAGGGCCCUAUUCUAGACUUUUAGAUUUAUUAUUGGAUUAUUUCAGUCCUCUCAAAAGCCCUGAAAGGUAAACAUCAUCAUUCCCAUUUUAUUCUCUUUAUAGAGAAUGUGCAGAACUGAUGCUUUAUAACCCAAAUGUGAUUCAUGAAAAGGAGUUCUACUUUGUUUAAAAACAAAUUAAUACCACGUUUUUCCAGUUGUGCUGCCUUUUCACUAAAUAUAUCUCCAAGUUUUCAUCAGGCUAAAAUUCUUUAAUUUUAAUAUCCAUCAAAGGAAGAUAAAUAUUAAUAGAUGUUAAACAAGAGCAAGAGUAAAUGUGUGUAUUUUUAGCUAUUUCCUCUAAACAACUCUGGCGCUCUGCAAAUACUUCUAAAAUGAAUAAAUCAUUUUCCUAAUAAAUGCCUACAAGAAUCUCAAAUAAGCUCAAGAAACAAAAGAGAGAAGAAGUAAGAAGAACAAAAGAAAACCUGGAGAAACAAAGAUACAAGGUCAGCUUUAGUGAAAAGGAGGCAAGUCCAAACAGUAAUGAACUUGGCAGUACUGAAGGGGCUGCCCUCUGGCCACAGUAGCAACAUCAUACUUAAACUGUCAUCACUCGCCUUUUAUGCUACUCUUUCUGCCAGCAUUUGGUAAUCUGAUAUAACCACGGAAAAAAGUGCUUAUCCCCCCAGACAGUGAGGAAGCCCCUGCCCUUGGGAUUUUAGUUUCUCAUGGGAUGGGAUAUAGUACUACAAAUAUAUUUUUUUUAUUAUAGUGAAGAUUCAUUUACAUAUUUCUGUUUCUGCUUGUACUGACAGGAAUUACAUUUUUACUAAAAGCCCUAUGUCUUGAUUACUGAUGUCAGCCUGAGAAUGUUCACCCAAGAAAGCAAGAAAUGCAAAAUCAAAAUAACUCCACUUCCUGAUGAUAGUCAUUAAUUAGUAUGUGGCAUUCUAAGGCAAAUAACCACGUGUUACACUUUUAAGACAGAAACAGAGGAAGAACGUUUGCUUUAAUUUACAAUUGGCUUUCUCUUCUGGAGACAUAAGUUGUGUUGGUCUUUUAGCAAUAUAAAAUUCUUAAGGAAUGGAGAAUGCUUUAAGUAAUUUCAACUUUGAGUCUGUCAUGUUUGAAAUCCAGAGAAAAUGCAAACUAUUCAGUUUUCUCUAUAUAAGUAUCUGCUCUGGCAAGGAAAAUGACUUUUUAAAGACCUGAAACAAAGAAUUAGGCUGGAUUUUCCUGGGAAGAAACAAAUAGGUGAUAAGUCACUUUUCAAACACAAUGGAUGGUUAGAACAGAACCAUAGAUACAUGGACUUCAAAAGAAGGUUAGUAAAAAGAAAAUGUAAACCAAAAGAAUACAAUUCAUUGCUCUUCAUUUAAAACAUUAGGUAAUGAACAUGGAAAGGUAUUCCUAUCAUAAAUUACAGAGGUUCACAUUUAAGCUUUCAUAAUAUUUAUUGAAAGAGAGAAAUGUAUACUUUUUAGAAAUAUUCUCUUUAAACUAUGCCUUAGAAUUCUACUAAGAAUUUAUUCAGUAACUUAAGAUAAUUCUGAGCCACUUCAGAAACACUAAAAUCAUAACCACUCUAAUUACAAUUUGCAUUUUUCCCGAUAAACUUAAAGUUUAAGAACUACAUUUAUUUUUCUUUCAUAUAUAUAACUCCUUAAAGUAUAUGAUGGAAUUAUCAAUGAAUAAAUCAUAGGAAAAUACAACUCUAUGGCUCCAAUCACAUUUUGAAAGCACACGUAUUUGCUUCUCAAUAGAGCUGAAUUACUCAAUUUAUUUCUGAUUUAUGAAGUAUCUUAAAAGCAGCAUAAUUAUGAGCAAUGAGCAGUUUUGUCCCAAUUUCUACAGUUUUCUUCCAGAUAAGAAGCUAACUUUCCAAUUUGGAAAUUCUUCAAAUUUCCUCUAAAUUGCAGUUAGUGACCGGGAGAUAAGGUAAAACUCUUGAAGGUACAGACUACUGCCUGGGGUUGGAGCUAAACGACCCCUUCUUCUGUAUGGGAAUUCUAGUGCUUUCAAAGCUUCCAGCAGAACACAGGUUCUCAGACCUUGCUGUUUACUAGAAUCCUUUGACUUGAAAAAGCUACUGAUGCCUGGACGCCCAUAGCACAGUGAAUAAAUCAACAUCUCCAGAGAUAGGGCCUGAGUAACUGUAUGUUUAUAUAAGUUCCCCAUGUGAUUAUAAUAUGCAGUUAGAAAGCUUUCAGCUAGAUGGAUGAUUACAUCAUGCAGCUUAACAAGCUGGUGAACCAAUAAUGUUGAGUGGAGAAAAAAUGAGGGAAAGCCUCCAUGAUGAAUUAAUAAUGACCUAAUGACCACAGAAAGCUCUAUCUGUAGGUAUAAGAGGAUGGAGUCAAUAAUCAGAGAAUCUAAGACCUAGGUGUGACUCUGUCACCAGAAAGCUGUGUGCCUUUCAGCAAAUUCUCUAAGUCUCUGGGGGUGCAGAAUUGGAGGAAAAGGCAGAGUGGAAGAUUCACCACUCUUAAUAAUAGCAGCUAUACUUUUGCCAGUUUUGUACAUUUUGCUUCUGCAGGAUUCUGUUGUUAAAAACAGUUUGACUAUGGAUGAUCUGCAUGUCCCCUAAGGUCUCUUUUGAGGUAAUUUUAUAACAUCCAGGGUGACAUGAAUAUCAGGAAUUGGCCUACUGGUCCAGCAUUAAAAAAGAAUUUAAGAUAAUCACAGUGAUUCUUCUGUUCUCUGUGGUCCUACACCCCCCACUCUUCAGCAUGGAUCAACUCCAUGGGCAGGAGGAGUUUAUCCAAAAUGAUCUUCCAUCCUCAGAGGCCUUCCCUGUCCUUGCAUCUCCCAGGUGCAUAAUAUUCCCGUGACUUCUCCCUCCCACCACUGCACCAGAUUGCACUCCUUUAUGAGUCAAUUCAGACUAUCUGUAAAGUAAAUGUAGUCAACACUCACCCAGAUUACAGCCUACAUACAUUCGAGGCCCUAAAACAUUUUUUUCUGGAGAUGAAUUUUCAUUAUGGAAUAAAGAGGCUAUACAUGUUCCAGCUGUCUUUUAGGUUUACCUCUCCCAGUCAACUCUUCACCUGAGCUGUAACAGACUAAAUAAACAAUUUCCUAGUCCUCUGACUCCUUAUUAGAGACAGCACCAAGGAGUCCUGAUGGGAGCCCCAACGGAAAGAAGAAAGGGAAGUAGGAUAUAAAUUCCCUGUGCUUGCUCUAUGUGGGACUGCCACAGAUCAACUGUGACUCUCAGUCCAAAGUCACAGGUCUUCUCAAAGUGGCCCUCUUCUUGUUGGUGAGGCCCACCCCUCACCCCUUUGCUCAGGAGUGCAAAAUGUCUCUCUUCUUACAAGUCCUUCUUACUCUGCCCCUCUCCUUUAAAUAAUUCUUUUAUUGAACCCUACCUGAAUUAUCCUAAUUUGAGUGAUCUAUUUCCGGAUAGGUUCCUGAUAUAUUUGCUGACAAAAGAUGUUCACGUUUAGAUAUUUCAAGAAAUAAUGAGAGAUGUAUGCAAAGAUUCAAGACUGUCAUUAAUAAUUUUGAAAAGAUAUCCACAGCCAUGACUAAUUAGAAUAGAUGUCACCUGUGUCCCAGAGGCCUCCUACUCUGCCAGGCAUUACUCCUUAGGUAGUGGACCAUGAGAAGUCCAGCAGGGGUGGAGAGACAGGACUCAGGAUGGCUGGGUGGUGACCACUUUUCAAUCAAUAUAGAAUGAUUUCAGUAUUUUAACAAGUAUAGCCAUACCAGCUGAAUGUUAGUGAAACCUGUAUAUAAUGCUGUUCAUUGCAGAAUGAUUUAUACGAGCAAACAAACAAAACACUGGACAAAAUUUAUAUGCCAAUUACAAAUUAUAGUAGGUCCAUGUCUUAGAAGAAUGUUUACCAAUAUGUGAAGAUAAUUACAAACUAUUUUGUAAAAAGCAGUUAUAAAAUAGCAUAGGCUGUAAAAAUCCCAAUUUUGUUUAAAUACAUGUAUACAUAUAUUUAUCUUAGUAAAGAGUUGAGAGAGUUCCCAUCGUGGCUCAGUGGUAACGAACACAAGUAGUAUCCAUGAGGGCACGGGUUCAAUCCCUGGCCUUGCUCAGUGGAUCCAGUGUUGCAUGAGCUGUGGUGCAGGCCACAGACUUGGCUCAGAUCCUGUGUUGCUGUGGCACUGGUGUAGGCUGGCAGUUACAGCUCUGAUUCAACAGCUCUGAUUCGACCCCUAGCCUGGGAACUUCCAUAUACCGUGGAAGCGGCCCUAAAAAAAAAAAAAAAAAAAAAAAAAAA
rnacentral:lncRNA from 1 species